GCUGCCCGGGGGCUGCGGGGCCGUGUCCUGGAGCCUCCCGGCCCGGGAGCUGCGGAGCGGGGCCGGCGCGGAGGGCGGCGCUUCCAAACCCGCGCGGCUCCUCGCUCGCAGCUCGGUGCCCGUAGGGGAAGGCAGGGGAGCCUCAGUGCUGGAUUAAAAGUAACCCUACAAGCCCCUGUUUUGUAUCUGCAAAGGCUGCCGGGCUGGAGCGGGAGUUGUGCUCCUGUGCCCGAGGAAAUCCCGGGCAGCGGGGGCGUUCCUGCGUGGGGGAAGCGCUGCCUUCCCUGGGAACCUGCCCCUCCCAGCCCUGUCAGUCACUGCCAGAAUCAAAAUUUGGAAAGCACUUGUACGUUGAAGGCGAGACACGGUUGUUUUGAUAUCUCCUUGUUCCAGUAGGACUUUUAGGUCUGAGAGAUGUUUCUUCCCCCAGACGACAGCAGGAUGUUGUGAUCCUGUUUCCUAAUACCUUCCAUAUCUUCUCUCUUUUUUUUUUUCCCUCUCCACCUCCCAAAAGUCACAGCACUGCAACAGAUAAUGUUUGAAAGAUGAUAUGUGUAUAUACUCCUACUAAGUAAUAAAUGAGAUUAUUUUAGAUGACAAGACAAAUAGAGUGCAAAUAUUUAUCUUUUAAGGACUCAGUAGAGUGAGAAUAUAUGCUGGAAAUACUUUGUGAUAUACUAAGAUAGGUGAGUGGUCUCUCUAUCCACCUUUUUUUUUAUCUUUCCUCUACCAGAAUAGUGGAGUAGGAUUUUUGUAAGAAAAGCAUGUCUGAGACUUGUGAAAUUCAAAAACCAUAUUGAAACAAUUAAACCAUCAUUUUUAAUAUUUCACUAGAAAUCCCUUCACUAGAAGUCCCUUCUAUCCCCACUGGCUGAGAACUUUUGAAAAUUUAGGUAAUCCCUCCUUAGUUUUGCUGCUUUUGAAUGAUAUUGGGACAACAGUAUGCUUCUGUGAGACAAUUUGAACCUAAAGUAUGAGCUUUGAUACUUAAUUUUCAAUAUCCAUCUCAUUACUGUCUAGCCUUGCAUAACACUGCAAAGUUGUGUGCAGGUUUUUUGUGGUAAAUUGUCAGAUACAGGUAGUAUAGAACACGUUUGUAACUGACACAGUGUAUAAGAAAGUUACGAUUUCUUUGACUUCAGUAGUUGUAUCUAAGCUUCUUUAUACCUAAUUUGAAGUUCUUGUAGGUUAAUCCCAGAGAUACAGACAAUUUUCCUCUCUUUGUAGGUGAAGUUGUUUUACUUUUGAGGAACAAGACAUGCUGAAGUAACUGUAGGGUAACCUUUCUUGGAAAUAAAAGCUGUUUUAAGUGUUUCAGGUUGAUCAUGGCAUUUGAUCUGUCCAGAAGCAAAUAUAAAUUUAUACCUCUCUGGCUUUGCUAUGCUUUCUUUCAGGAAAUGCUGGACUCUUAAGUACCAUCACUUUUGUGGCAGUGUUGCUGUACAGUUUUGUCAUGUGUAAUCGCUCUGGAAAUGCUUUCAAAAGUAAUACUGAAUUCUGCAGCCAAAUCUCAUGCUUUCGGAAAUAAUGCUGGAACUGGACUGCAGGGAAAAGUAAUUUUGUUUAAGUGUUUGUGAUUGACACUGAGAUAAUAUUCAAAGAGGAACUGUAGCAUAUGUAACACAUGCUUUACUGUUUCAAGUGUCCUCUCUCAAAGAAGGAGCAUAAAUGGUACUUGUUAGUGAUUAUUGAGGAUAUAGGUAUUCUUAUGUUACUAAUGAGGCAAAUACAGUGCCAGGCCAAAUUCUAAAUCUGUAAUUAUCUUUUGCCUCCCUAAAACCGGGAGACAGGUUUGUACUACUUCUAUCUAAAAGCACUUCUUUUGAUAAAAACAAAUAAUGUUUUGGGUUUUUUUUUUCUUUUCCUGUGGCCUAGGACAGAAAAGAAAGCUGAAUACUUAAUUUAUGUCACUUUGUAAUGGAAAUUAAACAAUUAAUUCUUCCUUUUACUUUUGAAAAUUUCGCCUUUCUAGGUUUUCAGGAUUUAUAGCAGCUUUAUUUUGUCACUUUAAGUCAUGCCAUAUUGCCAGUAAAAACUGGCUUGCUGUGCAGCUCUGCUAUGUUAGUUUGUUUACAGCUUAAGUGUUUCUGUGGUUUUGCUGCAGCCAGUAAUGGAUUACUACCGACAAGAGUUUUUUAUUUGUUUGUUUGAGGGAAAAGCAUGUGUUGUUUUGUCUCUGUUUUUAGAUGAAUAGGUUUCUUUCAUACUGAAUAUAACAAGUAGAUAUUCAUAGCAAAGUUUCUUUACCAAGUAGCAAGUAGUGAAAACAGUAAUGUUUGCCUGUGCUUGUUACUGUGCUAGAGUUUGUGAAGCUUCAUUUUGAUAGAUUGUGGAGUCGUGCUGAUAAAAUAUUUGUUUAGCUCUUGAUGUCUCUGAAACUUGCCAGAAAAAAACCCUGUAAUUUUUGAUUUGUGAGAGCAAAGACAACCACAUUCUAGAAAGACAUAUGAUGGUAACAUCUCCUUGCUACCAUCAUGAACCAAAUUUGGAUGAUCAUUGGGAGGUAAAGGUUUCUGCUUCUCUUUCAUCUCAGUUACAGUAGUGAUACUGAUACAGUGACAUAUAAUAGUGACCCCAGUAAUGAACCUGGACCUGAGUGAAGUCAAUGACUGCAGAUAGAGCUAAUUUAACAAAUGACAAAAAAGUUUUGAGAAUAAUACAUAAAGAGCUGAGGACACUGACCAGCUGGAUUCCAGUGGAUAUGUAUUUGCCACUGGUGCCACUGGUUGCAGUGGCUGCAUGCCAUGGACAUCAGCAUCAGAGUAUUCUCUGUUUCUGUGACUGAGAGCAUUGAAGCUGCAACCUUAUUGCUAAUCUAAAAGUGUAGAUCAGUUCAUUUCAAUGCUUGUGACAAGGAAACGGUUCCACAUGAAAGAAAAAUGUGUUUCUGUUUUUAUAAAGAGUGAAAGCUGGAAAUAAUACUUUAUUAUAGAUAUUAGUGAUGAAAAAACCAAAGCAGGACUGACUUGUUGGAAACUAAACUUCCAUUAAUUCUUUCUGUUCCCUUUGGACAAAGCCAUAAGGAGACUUGUUUAUGAUGGAAGACAUUCCUGGUAGAAGAAAGGCAUAGAUUUAGCAGCAGUUUUGAUUAUGGUAAAAUUAACAGAUACUUCAUGGAAAGUCUUUGGAUUAUACUAUGUCACUUCUGUUCUCUGAUGCAAGUCUUUAGUAGCAUCACUGUUAAUUUCCCAAUGCUUUCCUAGAUGGUUUUGGAUUCACUAAGGAGUUAUAUCACCUAAAAGGUGUAAAAAUAGGGAGUGAGGAAGAUUGUCCAAAAGACUUCAUGUCUCUCCUUUUCGUGCUAUUUCAGCAUUACUUGACUCUGUGACCAACAUGUAAUUUUCUGCACCAGAAAACAAGAAAGAAACAGCGGUUGUUAACAAAUAAGCCAUGCCUGUUUCAGCUGAUGAAACUGUGGGGGACCUGCCUGUGAGAGAUACGGGUCUAACUCCAUCUGGAAUUGAAGGAUUACAAGAAUCAUCAACCACACAAUGUAAAAGCUCUGCAAGCUGUACAACAAAUCAUUCGAGAAGAACUGGAGGACAGGUUUCUUCAUAUACACGAUGACCACAUCUUACUCAAGCAGCAUACAAAUAAGCAAGAGGAGAAAAUUAAAAGCAUCCCUCAUGCCAAAACCCUUAUAACUAGAAGUUUGGAAUGAAUUUGCAAUAGAAGAACAUUGAAAAAAAACCAACAAAUAAACAAAAAACCUGCUCACAGGCAAGUAACAUUCUGUGACAUCCUAAAGUUAUUACGGAUUUUUUUGGUUUCACUUUUGUUUCUUUAAGUAGAAGCUUCUGUGCAGAAGUAUACAAAAACUAAAACAAGCCUCCUUUAAACAAAUGAGGUGUGUCCUUAUUUUCAGUUUUCUUUCUGGACCUUCAAAAAUAGAUUCCCUGUAAACUAGAUACAGGUCUUGAAGAUGUGCGACCGAUUUUGUAAAGUCUUGAACUUGUCUCUUUCAUCAAAGCCACCUUUUCUUUCUUUAUAUGCCAAGUUUUUUCUGUUCACCGCUGGGUAUGUUUUCUGUUCGUGUAUAUUACAUCACCCCCAUGUGCCCUCUCUGCCUUUUGCUCCAGCUUACCAAUGUUUAUCAAAACUAAGGGAAAUCAAAGGUACAACUCUUAAGAUGCCAAGAGCAAAAUUUGUAUUCUUUUAAGGACAGAUGAAAACCAUUCCCUCUGUAUCUAAUUAUAUUCUUCAGCUAACCGUUCCUUGUCUGAAGCACACUGGUAAUAUUUACCAAGUAUAAAACUGAGUAUGGUAAUGAGAACUAUUAAGUCUCUUUUUCCGAAGUACCUGCUUAAAUAUUUCAACCUCUGUAUUUUAGCCACUUUAGAAAUGAGACAUAUAUUUAAACCCUAAAUUAGUAGAAAUUAUGUAUCAUUGGAAUGUUGUAUAUUAUUAGCAUUCUUUGAACAGUUGAAUGUUUUGUGAAAUUGUAUCUUUUAUAGUUUGCCCCACCACAUCCCAAAUCCGUAACUUUACUUAACAGCACGCGGAGGUUCCUAUAUAAGGUCAUGCGUUAAAAAUUACAUUUAAGCAGCAUAUGGAGUAAAUAUGUGUCCUCCCUUUACUAACCAAAUGAUAAGCCUUAGGAAACUGUUAUUUGUCAGUGCUAUAAAGCAGAUUGCUGCACAGUGGUUUCAAUUAUCUUCAAAGAGUUCUUCACAGGCAGUAAUAGUUAUAUCAAAACCUGAAAUUUAUUAUUCAGGUUCUAUGCUGAAGUCUUCACAGUGAUUAUGUUCCUUUCAACAGAAUGCUUUUUAUGCUGACUUUUCACAUUCUUUUUCAUCUUUUUUUAUUAUUUUCCCCGGAAUGACCACCAAGUUAACACAGCUUGUUAAUGGUAAAAAAAAGUCCGAACAGGUUAGUGGCGACCUCAAGUGGCCGGGUCAGGCCUGGAGCUGGAAGAAAGAAUUGAGCAUUUACAAGAAGAGUUUAUGGGCUUGAGAGACAAAACGAGAGCCUCUGCAGCAAACUGCUUUCAGCUGACCAGCAGCUCCAGAUUCAAGGCCAUAGGCCUUGUCCACACAGCUGUGUUCAAUCUUCUGUUAACAUUGGUCUCAGAAAAGUGAGUGAGGCCACUGGCAGGCUGGAGCACGCAGGGGAAGGUGUAAUUCACAUUUAUUAAAAACAGGGGUUUAUACUGGUACCCCUAAUAAUUGCUGUACUGUAGCACGUCCAUACUCUUUUUCUGUUCAUCAGUGGGCAAUAAUAGUACCUGUAGACAGAAAGAUUUUUAUUUCCUUUUUUUUCUAGUAUUUAUUUAUAACAGUCAUGAUAACUUGUUUGCCUUUGAAGUCCUUAUUAUGAGAAUCCACAGUAGUAGGGGUUAAACAAAAGUGCAGAUUUAUCAAGCAAGUUUUCUAAUAGUUAAAAUCAUGGGACUUCCUUAGUAUAACUUCUCUACAUGUUAAAGGGUUAUAAAAGUAGUAUAUGAAAAAGUUUAGUGUUGUCAUGUAAUAACAAAGUUCCACAUCUGUAGUUUGUUUGCACAUGUUUUUCCUUUUUUAAUUUCAAGGUUUGUUCUAGUCUGUGCACAACACUGCAGAUCUGAAAAAUCUGUCGCACGUGUGGACUUUGAAAAGCAAAUCCUACACUGCAGCCAUCUAUAAUGAGGCUUUUUACUGUUCAGACUUACUGCUUAAGGCGAUCUCUCAGUCCUUUACCUAUGGUAGCUACAUUUGGAAACGUCAUUUUAAAAUCUUUCUGUUUUCAUAGGAACAUUCCUAGAAGUACUUGUAGUCAGUUAACUUAUAUGCUGGACUGAUAAUGUGUUAGAAAAAAACCAAACAACAGAAGACUUACGGCCCUGAUUCAAACCUGAGUCAGCAGAAUUGUCUCCUUAACUUCCACAAGUUAUGGAUCAGGCUGGUGGCCAGUUACGCUGUGGUUUUUUCCUCCAUCUCACCCUCACAUUGGCCUUUAUUUUCGUUACAUUGAUUAUUUAGGCAUAUGAAAAUAAAAAACAAUUCUCAUGUUUUCAGACAGACAAUAAAAAGUGAUCGUCUCUACCAAUUUGCUUCUUUAAUUUAUAUGUAGUACAAGUUUUGACAUUUUUAAUGCGCCUACAUUUUUACACUUCAUAUCAUUAAUUAGGCAGUUUUAUUCCCAAAAUCAGUGUUUGUUUUUUUGUUUUAACAAUGCAAAAAUAGGGUAGAACUAUAAUAAAUUGAUUCAAGCCCAGUAGUAGCAAAGAGAAGAGGGCAACUUGAUUCAAGGAAUAAAGAUCAAAUGUUGAUAUGGCACACUGCGAGGAUUUUUCUUGGCAUAAGAACAGAUCCAGAUUCAAGAUGUCCUGUGCAGACCCCAAGCUAAGUAUACAAAUAUAUGAAUUAAUGUGCAAUUAUGUAUUUUGUGCUUGAAGUUCUGUGAACACAAGAUUUACUUGAAUCAUAGGAAAUCAUUGUACAGAAAUACACUUAUAAAUUGGCAUGUUCUGGAUAAAUCACACUGUUAAAGGCAUGUCAUCUGAUUUUUAGUGUGUCAAGUUACCUGUCAGAAUAAAAGCUUAAAAAUUACUUUCACUGCUCCAUCCAUUGAAGAUCUCAUAAUCUUUGAUAGCUAGUAAUGGUGUUUUGCUUUUCAGAAAACACUUAGUACUAAUGCAUUAGAAGGAGGAUACUUCUAACAUAGUGUAGGGUCUGUGUUGUGUUUUCAUAGUGAAAUAAACUCUUAAACCUCUGCUACAAUGCAUGUCAUUAAGAAAAACAAAUUUUGCUGAACACCUACAAUUUUUGCUCUUUUGAGUAUUCAUUUAAUUUCUUACUUUUAUUAAAUACUUGAGUUUGGAAUGUCAGAUGCUUGUGCUUGCAGGGAGACUGUGAUUGAGUCCCAAAAGGAAUACACUGAGGAACUAGAACAUGCCAAAGAUACUUGUGAGUCAACUAGAGAAAGAAAGAAAAGGAAAUUGAGGAGUCCAUCCUACGGCUGAAAGAGCAGAGAACAGCAAGCCAAAGGCUAAACAUUCAGGACAAUGUGGAACCAAUCAAGGUCCAUUAACAGCUGGUUGAGAAAAGCAGUGCUCUUUCAGCAAAGGGAGGAAAAUUUCUCCAGCUUCAAGAGAUAAUUGCAACUUGAGCCUAAACAAUUUGAAGACCUUCCAUGAUGUUUUAUUAGCAAAGGUGAUGAACUGAAUGUACGUCUUAAAGAGGAACAGAUAAAAUGCCUCCAUCUUCAGAACGGAUUGCAAUCAGUAACUAUUUCAAAGAGAAGGAACGAAGAGCAUGUGGUACAGGAGGUUAAACAAGAAAGGCUAGCAGAUAAGGUGAAGGAGAUGGCUGAAGAAAUUCAACAGGAGAAAGAAGAGCUCUCACAUCUGUCAGAGGAGCAGUUAGCUGACCAAACACCAAUUACUUCUGGAGACGAGACAAAAAUAACUGAAGAAUUGGAACCAGAAGAUCAAGAUGGUAGACAAGAUGAGGAUGCUGUUGAAUCAAUAAAAACUGACAGCAAUGAUGGUAUUAUUUCAAGUCCAGAUCCACAAAUAUUAAACAGCUGAAUCAGUGAUCAUGGCAAUUAUUUGGCAAGACAGAAAAAGAUUUUAAGCUGAAAUGACCUCUGAUAAUAGGUUUGCUAUAUCUAACAUCACUUUUCAAUAAAGUUGUACAUGUACAGUAUCCAGUCACUUCAGUUGUACUUCUUUUUCUAUCAUUAUUUGUGAACAAGUACACCAAUGAUGUCCCCUUACUCUUAAAACCAGUAAUUAAUUAGCAUGAAGUCAUAUAUACAAAAUAACACAGCAUAAUACAAAUUUGGAAAAUUUACUUUGAACAGUAUUCCAAAAAAAAAAGAAAAUAUUUCCUACUUUUAGAUCUAACAUUGACUGAACUAUCUUAAAAAAUACGAAACUAGUGCUUAAAAUUGAUGUUAGUACCUCUAACAGUUAAUACUUUUGUCAUCUGUCUUAGCCUUCUUUUAAAGGACUAGAGGUGUACUGUGAGAUCCUAUCAGUCUUCACGGUUUUUAGUGCUCUGCAAUGUGAUAUCCUAGAGGUAGUUUGACUUUUUUAAAAUUUUUUUUCAAGGCUUGAGACAUCUUACAAAGCAAGUAACAACAAGAAGCAACUCUUUGUAUGGGAAAUAUUGCUCCUUCUUUUUUAUGCUGUAGAAGGGAUUCAGUAAUGCUAUCGCCUGUAUAUUCUUCAGAAAGAUACAAAAGGUACUUUUGAAGAAAGAAUUGCAUUGUAUAAAAAAUUUUCACCUGUAAUUUUGAGAAUAAUCAUUUACAAUGACUGCUGCUCAUCACUAGUAAGUCAAACACUUGUUCUAUACUUCUGUAGUCAUCCUGUAUUUUAUUUUAUCACAGUUAUUUAAGAACACUUCUGAGAGAUUUUUGUGUGUAGAUUCAUUUCAGGUUCAUCAGUUUCUACCUCUCUCCAUUGAUCUCUUCCUCUGGUAACAAAGUGCAUGUUCACAAAGGGUAGAUAAAACAAUAAAAGCUAUAAACUAUUAAGACAACAUGUUUGAUACAAAUUGGAUUUUAAAAAUAUGCCUUGGUUUAUUUGAAUUCUUGGGUUAGUUCUAGAAUACAGCAUGUCAAAAUUGUUAUUGAAUUUGUAUUUUUUUAAGAUUAAAAAUCACUGCCUUUUAUCUUUUGAGAUAAAUAUCCUGCUGGUAAUCAAACACUGUAAAUAAGACUUGUGAUUUUUAGAGAUCGUUAUGCUAAUUAUCCUAUAAAUCUGAGUUGUAUGCCAAACUGUUUAAGCCAUUUAAGAUCAUACUGGGGGUUUUUUGCAUGUUGCAAAUUAGACAGUUCAUGGUUAUUUCUUAGAUAUGUUGAUCAUAAAGGGUAUCUAACAGAUUUUCCAGUACUUAGCUGUACCACUUGCUUCUUUCUCUUUUCUUCUUGUCUAUGAUGUAUGAUUAAUCAUAGAUUACUUCAUUUUGUUUCAUUUCAUUUACAACAUUUAUGAGCUUCACUUUGUCGGUAUGAAAUGCUUGUCCCCUUCUUUCCUUUCCAAAGUGGCAUAAUUAGUGUUAGCAUCUUUUUUAACAGGCUACAUAAAGUUUAGUGGCUGGAUUAAAUCAAGUCAUUAACAUAAUGUGCUAUACAAUUUGCCCCUAUCUCUUUUCGUUUCCAGUACAUCAAAGUGCCACAGAGUGCCAGUGUAAUUGGGCCUUGCUAGCUUGUCAGGUUCAGUCAGGCUGAUGGCUGCUGCUUUUACUAAAAAGCUUCCAGGCAUGAUAAUUAAUAGAGAAAAGAAGUCUGAGAAAUGUAAAAGUUUGGACAGUUCUCUAUGAAUAUUUCAUACAUUUGAAUAAUCAGAAGUUAACAUUAUCAAUUUGAUGUAUAAUACAUUGAUUAAAAGCCUUGUUUCAGAUCCUCAAAAUAGACAUCAAAACUGGGAAUUUGCAUUUUCUUUGGCAUGGUCUUUAUAUUAAAAAAAAAAAAAAAUUACAAAAAAAGUCUUUUCUCUUCCAUCCCCUCCUCCCUUUCAACCCCAUGUCUACACUGUAUCCUUACAGGAGAUUAUACAGCAUUCAGUUAUCACAAUAAAAUUUACUGCUGUCAGCUUCCAAGUUGUCUUAAAAUGUGCCAUGAGGUAAUUACUGGCAAGACCAAUUUAUUCAGUGCUGGUUCUGUUAUUUUCUAUAGGUCUCUUUUUCGGUGCAGCUACUGUGAGUGCAUUCUGUUGCUUUAAUAGCAGUUUUUUGAUAACUGUCAUUUACCUCUAACUGUAAGUUAAGAUCUCAAGUUCUAAUUAGUUUUGACAUGAAAAUCCCUCUUAAACACCAUUAAAGAACAAUACCAAUUGCCCAUGAUUCUCUUGGUGAAUGAAGCCUGUUUGUGCAAAUGUGAGAAGAUGUAAAGUAUAAAACCUAUGUAUAGCAAAGCAAUAGAUACUUUUUAUUAUGCUUUUUUUGUAUGACUGCUUGACUAGUGCAUUUCCUCCUAUGUGAUAUCUCUUGUUCAUUGGAAAAAAGAAAAUUAUUUGGACAUUGUAUUGCAGUUUUAAAUUUUGGCUGACUUGAUUUCUCUUUACGCUAAUUUUCUGCAGGACUUGACUGCCUUUAGUCUGUUUCAGGGAGAUUUUUGAGUGUUCAAUAUUUUCCUCAAACUGGCUUGUUUUGUGAAAAUCCAAUGAGAAUUUAGAGAACUAAAAUUUUAGAGUUUUAGUAUUACCUUGUGUUACUGAGUUGGCUUGAUUCUGCUGUGCCAGAAAUACUAAUCCUUUGUAUCCUCCUAGUCCUAUCUAAAACCAGUUGCUUUGUGCUUUUCUUCUGUAAGAAACUGGGGAAGUAAAAGUGCUCCACCAGCAUAUUUAAUAAAACAAGAAAUAAAAUUCAUGAAACAGAACCAUCUUAUCAGAAUAAGAUACAAGUAACUUAUUAAAACUUUAUAGUCAGUACUUUCAAGGAGUACUAGUGGGUCUAAGAUUAAAAAGGAGCAUUUGCCAUUCUCCAUCAUUGAGGUGAUUGUUUGUGUUAUGGUCACUAUAGUCCAGGAACUAAAGUAAAAGAGAGAAAGUUUAAAGAAUCCAGGCAAUACCUAAGUUGUCUUUUGCCAGUGAUAAAGUUUGAAAUGACAGAAGUUUGAGUAGGCACUGUGCAGAAAUGAUGGAUUUACAACUUCCAUCUACCCCUUGUCAAAUAUACUUUGAAGUUGUAGUUGGAAGCAUGUACUGAAAGUCAUUCUUCAUGAUGGAAGAAAUGGAAUAAAAGGGUGAAGUAAUAUCAAAAAACCCAAACAACCACUUUUAAAAUGAUUGAAAACUACAGAAUCUUAAGUCAUUAGGUGACUCAUUAUUUUUUAGGUAACAAAUAAUACUAAUUAGUUAGAAUAUGAAAUUAAGUAGAAAGUCAGAUUUAAGGCUGAAUGCAUAAGCCCACAGGAAAAGCAUCAGCAAGAGUCAUUUUUAACCCCACUGGUAAUUUUUUUGUGGUUAUGAAUAAGAAUGAUCCUCAGCUGCUUACUGGAGAUACUGUUUGUCGGAGCCUAUGGACAUGGCAGUAUGUUAUGGUGACUUUACAAAUAGAAAGUAGUAUUUUUCUGACUGGAAGUUUAAAAAUCAAAGGAUAGCAUUUGAAAAUAAAUUUUAAUUUUUAUUAGUUUUGUUGUCUAUAUCACCAAGCAUAAUUUUUUCACACUGAGUAUUAUGAGAAUCAAAUUCGAUUAAUUUUUUAAUGUCUAUAUGGUCCCCACACAAUACUGUAAUGGCGAGGGGGGGAUACAUUAUCAAAUAUUAAAUAAUAAAACUGUAAAUAAAAAAACCUAGUUAUAUUAAAAAUGUGCAAUUUGAUAUAUUUCUUCCACUACAGCUGCACUCAAAAAUUGAGGAAUUUGGACUCUGCACUGGAUAAAAUGGCAGCAACCAGAGUUGUAUUCAUUGUCACAAAUAGAUUUUUUUAGUUCAAUGUGUUCUCAGUUCUAGACAGAGCUGAGGGGAUUGCAUCAAACCUAAUUAUGGUGCUGACCUUGGGCUAUUGUGUUCUCCUCCUGGCACGUGGCAGAACAGUGUUGCAGGGGAACAUGACAUGUGCCUUUCCCUCCCUCACAGUAGAUUCACCUCCAGAAGAGCUGUUCAACAAGGAGACAUCUCUUUGCCCCAGGUCUUAGGGAGAGUCCAAAGUGGAUGCACUAUAGGAAGUCCCAUCCACUUGGAGAAGGAACAGGGAGCAUUUCCACAUCCCUCUUUCUGUUCUCACAUCUACACCAUUGUGGGGAAAAGGUAAAAGUUGAAGAUGUUGUUCCUAACAUGAAAAGUCAGUGCAUACAGAACUAGAAUAAUUUUUUGUAAUAUGUAUUUUUAUGUGUAUAUGAUUCUGUGUUGCCUGUUAAUCAUAAUUACUUAAUGAAUAAUGUUUGUGUCUCUGAACACGUGAGUUACAUUGGCAUUCCUGUGAUAGCAUUCAUUUGUGGUUCUGUUCUGACAUUGUUAAUAAGAUGAUCACAAAAAUUUAGCACUUGAUAGAGUAAGAGGAUGGCUUGUUGUUCAGUAAAUAUAUUUGUCAAUCAAGUAAUAUUGAUAGUGAUUGAAGUAUUGAUAGUAAGUGGAUGAAUAAUUGUGAUUAUUGGAGAAUAGCUUGUAGUUUGUCUUCUGUGCUAUCCACCUGAAAUAGAAGAAAACAAGUGGAAAUAGAUAUAUGAAAUGUGAGGAGUAAAGUGUACGUAUUUUUGACCAUUUUUCAAUAUAGGAUUCAAGUUGUCUUACAGUUUAGAUGUUCCCUUUAUUUUAAGUUUUUCAAGGGCCAUAUAUUAGUUACAACUGUGGAUGUAAAAAAUAGGAACAUUGUUCCUAUAAGCAAGGUAUUUUCAGCUCUGCUGUUCUGUGCAGAAAGCACUUAUUUCUGUGGGAUGCUAUUGUGUAACAUUUGUGUCAGCUGGAAUCUUAUUUUUCACAUCAAAGUCGUAGCCUUUUAGUGUGACCAAAAAGGAAAUGAAAAUAUGGAAUAUACAGCUUCUUGAAGGUGGCAGUCAAGACUGACUGUGGAAUUAAUAAAAGGGUUUCUUAAUCUCAGACAGAUGAGAAAAGUUGAGAUGUAAAUUUUGUACGAAAUGUCCAAUGCGUUUAGUGCUUAUCCAAAUCCUGAAGCUUGUUGGAGUUCAGUUAUUCUUCCAAAUCUCUGGGUAGCACUAAUUACAGAGUUGGUAUUAAAAGACAGAGAAAGAAUUCUGACAUAGACUAAGUAUCUUGCCCAUGUUUUGUUUCCCUCACCUGAAAUGAAAGCACUGAACCAGUUUCUCAGAUUCUUUGAAAGCAUUUAAUAGUCUUUAUUUUAAUAUGUGCCCAUUCUCUCUCUUUGAGGAAAUUUUGUAUUAUAUCUUGUUUUAAAUUCUAAAUGUAAAGAAUAAUUUUAUUCCCAUUAAAAUAGAAUGAUUUGUGGGCAGUAAUUGACAAAUUCUCCAUUGUUCACUUGAAUAGUGCCUAAUAAAUGAGACCAAGGCUUAAAAAAAAAACUUAGGAAAAGAUUUAAAUAACAUAUUUCACUCUGCAUCACAGAAAAAUAAAUAGUUGUUUAAAAAUUAAUUCCUAUCAUAUGUUGGAUGCUAUAUGUAUUUUCAGCCUGGCUACAUAAUAUGAGGGGGUUUGUAUUAGUGGUGAAAUAUGACAUGCUAGCUAUGCUGUUCUUCAGCAGUUCUAUAUUUUUUAUUUGUAAAUACCUUUUUUAACCAGUCUGUGUUCUCCUUUGUAUAUGCUGUAUUUGUGUUUAACAUUAAUAAAACUCAAAAUAGUCUUGA